CGCAGCCAUGCUUUGCAGGGGCUCCAGCCCCUGACUCACUACAAGAUAGGGCAAGUCGCUUCGCGGAGGCAUCCAACUACACAUCGACAGAAACCCGGGAAUACAAUUAAGUGUCUUUAAAUCGCGAAAUGCGCAUUAUAUUGCGAAAACAGCCUCGUGAAACAUGAUGGAUAUGAAUGCAAGGAAAACCAACGACCUCCUGCUGAGGCUGUGGAGCGAGCGAGCGCGUGUUUGAGUACGUACGGACGUGGUCGAAGCCCCUGAAGCUUUUUUCCCCCUUUUUCACAGAGGUCCUUUCAAGCAGAUCAAAUGGUCAACCCCCCCCAUGUUCCCCCUUUGUCCCAGACUGGCUGUCAUUUUGCAGCUACAAAAAAAAAAAAAAAAAUAACGAAGGCCUUAUCCCUUUGCUGUCAACAUUUCAUGGCCAUAUUUCAUCAUGUGUUGGUUAAGUAAUCCUUUUGAACAUUCGCUUCGCUUUUAUCAAAUCUGUGCUGUGUUUAAACACUUAACGGAAUGGUUUCAGUUGCAAAGAAGAUCGCUGAGAUGGGGGUUUGAUUUAAUAGUGUUAAUUUAAUUUAAUAGUGAAUCCGUCAUACGCGCCGGGACACUAAAACCAGAGGCCGAUGAAUGACUGGAUAAACGAAGGAUUUCAUGGUAAUACAACUGCUUUGCAAUGGUUAAAAUGAUGGAGAGGUUUGUAGCAUAUUUUAGACAAGCUUUGCGUGAUUUGAGACUCUGGCUCUCCGUGUUCACAGCGGACCUUGAUUUAAUGUCUUACAAUUAAGGCACGCGGUGAAUGCCAAGAGCGGAGCCUUCCGCCAGCCGCAGGCCAAAAUCCUGCAAAUUCUAACUGAACUUUUCAUUUGAUUAAAUUGCAUUUUACCAAUAAAAGCUGGUUUUGAUAGUC